GAUGAAGAACGCAGCGAAAUGCGAUAAGUAAUGCGAAUUGCAGAAUUUCCGUGAGUCAUCGAAUCUUUGAACGCACAUUGCGCCCCUUGGUAUUCCAUGGGGCAUGCCUGUUCGAGCGUCAUUUGUACCUUCAAGCCUUGCUUGGUGUUGGGUGUUUGUCUCGCCUCUGCGCGCAGACUCGCCUCAAAACAAUUGGCAGCCGGCGUAUUGAUUUCGGAGCGCAGUACAUCUCGCGCUUUGCACUCAGAACGACGACGUCCAAAAGUACAUUUUUACACUCUUGACCUCGGAUCAGGUAGGGAUACCCGCUGAACUUAAGCAUAUCAAUAAGCGGAGGA
rnacentral:misc_RNA from 1 species